rnacentral:snRNA from 1 species
GUAUGUGCUAUCUCUCUCUUCACUAUUCCAUGUUUGUCACUUCCAAAGCUGUAUAUUCUGUAAACUUGAAGCAUUUCUUAGGUAAGUUUAUUCUCUAUUCAAGUGUCUGUAAGUAGCCCUAGUUACUUGCUAGAACCUCAAACAAGUUUUCAGAAAUUACUUAUAGGAGAAAGUAAAGUUGUCAAGCUUAAGUUAAAACAUUUAAAUCUGCUUAUGACUAGGCCUUUUAGC